GACGAACGCUGGCGGCGUGCUUAACACAUGCAAGUCGAACGAUGAACCCGGAGCUUGCUCCGGUGGAUUAGUGGCGAACGGGUGAGUAACACGUGAGUAACCUGCCCUUGACUCUGGGAUAACUGCGGGAAACUGUAGCUAAUACCGGAUACGACCCUCGGCGGCAUCGCCAGGGGGUGGAAAGAAUUUCGGUCAAGGAUGGACUCGCGGCCUAUCAGCUAGUUGGUGAGGUAACGGCUCACCAAGGCGACGACGGGUAGCCGGCCUGAGAGGGUGACCAGCCACACUGGGACUGAGACACUGCCCAGACUCCUACGGGAGGCAGCAGUGGGGAAUAUUGCGCAAUGGACGAAAGUCUGACGCAGCGACGCCUCGUGAGGGACGAAGGUCUUCGGAUUGUAAACCUCUUUCAGCAGGGACGAAGCGAAAGUGACGGUACCUGCAGAAGAAGCACCGGCUAACUAUGUGCCAGCAGCCGCCGUAA
rnacentral:rRNA from 1 species